UACGGAGGUGGCAAGCGUUGCUCGGAAUCACUGGGCGUAAAGGGCGCGUAGGCGGGGAGGUAAGUCGGGGGUGAAAUCCCUCGGCCCAACCGAGGAACUGCGCCCGAGACUGCUUCUCUUGAGUCCCGGAGAGGAAGAUGGAAUUCCCAGUGUAGAGGUGAAAUUCGUAGAUAUUGGGAAGAACACCAGUGGCGAAGGCGGCUAACUGGUCCAGUACUGACGCUGAGGUGCGAAAGCGUGGGGAGCAAACAGG
rnacentral:rRNA from 1 species